AGUGAACGCUGGCGGUAGGCCUAACACAUGCAAGUCGAACGGCAGCACAGGAGAGCUUGCUCUCUGGGUGGCGAGUGGCGGACGGGUGAGGAAUACAUCGGAACCUACUUUUUCGUGGGGGAUAACGUAGGGAAACUUACGCUAAUACCGCAUACGACCUACGGGUGAAAGCAGGGGACGUUCGGGCCUUGGGCGAAUGAAUGAGCCGAUGUCGGAUUAGCUAGUUGGCGGGGUAAAGGCCCACCAAGGCGACGAUCCGUAGCUGGUCUGAGAGGAUGAUCAGCCACACUGGAACUGAGACACGGUCCAGACUCCUACGGGAGGCAGCAGUGGGGAAUAUUGGACAAUGGGCGCAAGCCUGAUCCAGCCAUACCGCGUGGGUGAAGAAGGCCUUCGGGUUGUAAAGCCCUUUUGUUGGGAAAGAAAUCCAGCUGGCUAAUACCCGGUUGGGAUGACGGUACCCAAAGAAUAAGCACCGGCUAACUUCGUGCCAGCCGCCGCCGUAA
rnacentral:rRNA from 1 species